AUCCAUUCAGAUAGUUUAAAGUGCUAAAUCACUCUAGAAUUCUUAUUGAAAAGAUAGCACAUCUAUGCCAUUUAUCCUAUUUUAUUACCCAGAGAAAUCUGGCUUCACCGUUUUCUAUGUUUUUAAGCUGAUUUUCUUUCCCUGAGCACUGCUGCCUGUACAUUAGCUCUUUCUGUCCUCUGUGGCUCUAUUUUGCCUGAGCUCUGGGAUCUUUACAUCUCCUCGUGUUUGUAGAGCUUCAUUAUGUUCAAUAACUUCGUGCUACAUUUUGAUCAUAAUUUUCUUUCCUUCUGAUAUAUUUUUUACUCAGCACUAUUUUGGAUAAACAUUUAAAAAACAACUUUAUUGAGACAUAAUUCUUGUGCCAGACAAUUUCCUCAUUUAAAUCACUUUAAAUGUGUAACCGAAUCCCUUUUAGUAUAUUCACAAACAAGGUCAGUCAUCAGCCCGGUAAAUUGCAAUAUCUCUUCAUUUCAAAAAGAAACCCUGAACCCUAUGGCUAUCACCGAGUGCCUCUCCACCCCAUUCUCAGCCCCAGGAAUCAUUCUGAUUUCUCCACAUUCUCACCAGUGCUGAUUAUUAUCUGACUCUGAUUCUAGCAAUUCUAGUUUGUGUGAAGUGGUAUCUCAUUGUGGUUUUAAUUUGCAUUUUGCUAAUGGCUAAUGAUGUGGAACAUAUUUUCAUGUGUUUAUCAGCUAUUGAUGUCCCUUCCUUGGAGAAACGUCUAGUCAGAUUUUUUAUUCAUUUUUUAACGGGGUUAUUUGUAUUUUUAUUGAGAUUUAAAUGUUCAUUAAAUAUUCCGCUUACAAGUUUCUUAUGAGAUACAUGAAAUUGCAAAUACUUUCUCCUGUUCUGCGGAUUAUCUUAUUUUCUUUAAAGCAAAAUUUUUUUAUUUUAAUAAAAUCCAAUUUAAAAUUUUUGGUCAUGAGAUAGAUAGAUAGAUAGAUAGACAGAUAGACAGAUAGAUAAUGACUUAUUUGGGAGGGCUUGCCUUGGAAGCUAU
rnacentral:lncRNA from 1 species